GAUCCUGGCUCAGGAUGAACGCUAGCUACAGGCUUAACACAUGCAAGUCGAGGGGGCGAGCAUGAACUUAGCUUGCUAAGUUUGAUGGCGACCGGCGCACAGGUGAGUAACACGUAUCCAACCUGCCGAUGACUCGGGGAUAGCCUUUCGAAAGAAAGAUUAAUACCCGAUGGCAUAGUUCUUCCGCAUGGUAGAACUAUUAAAGGAUUUCGGUCAUCGAUGGGGAUGCGUUCCA
rnacentral:rRNA from 1 species